GCAGAGGCGGUGUCGCCGGCGGCAACCGCCGAGCGUGUCAGACGGCGUCCCGGACAAGGCUGACCAUGGUUGGCGGCGGAGUUAGAGCGGCGGAAGUUGCGGAGGUCUGGUGAUUGACGGCUAGUGCCUCACAGAGUCUCCACUGAUGGGGCGACGAGGCCUGAAAUCCAAUCAUAGGACUAGGUUGAUGCUGAUGAAAGAAUUUGGCUGGAGCUGGAUGGAGGAAUGAUAUCAUCACCUAUUUUUAGAAGGAUCAUAAAAUUUGUGUACUUAGCCAGAAUAUUCUUCUUAUAGAAAUAACGAGGCAUGUGUUUUAGCUCCGGUCUGUCGAGCAUAUAUUUAAUCGUGUGUUCAUGUAGUCUAUGAUGAGAUGUUUAAGCUCCAUGUAAAUUUAUCUCGCCAACUGAAUUUUUUCAUGGCAUUAUAUUGAUGUUUCUUUGUCU